rnacentral:rRNA from 1 species
GAUGAACGCUGGCGGCGUGCCUAAUACAUGCAAGUCGAGCGAACAGAUAAGGAGCUUGCUCCUUUGACGUUAGCGGCGGACGGGUGAGUAACACGUGGGUAACCUACCUAUAAGACUGGGAUAACUUCGGGAAACCGGAGCUAAUACCGGAUAAUACUUCGAACCGCAUGGUUCGAUAGUGAAAGAUGGUUUUGCUAUCACUUAUAGAUGGACCCGCGCCGUAUUAGCUAGUUGGUAAGGUAACGGCUUACCAAGGCGACGAUACGUAGCCGACCUGAGAGGGUGAUCGGCCACACUGGAACUGAGACACGGUCCAGACUCCUACGGGAGGCAGCAGUAGGGAAUCUUCCGCAAUGGGCGAAAGCCUGACGGAGCAACGCCGCGUGAGUGAUGAAGGUCUUCGGAUCGUAAAACUCUGUUAUUAGGGAAGAACAUACGUGUAAGUAACUGUGCACGUCUUGACGGUACCUAAUCAGAAAGCCACGGCUAACUACGUG